rnacentral:rRNA from 1 species
AACGAACGCUGGCGGCAGGCCUAACACAUGCAAGUCGAGCGAGACCUUCGGGUCUAGCGGCGGACGGGUGAGUAACGCGUGGGAACGUGCCCUUUUCUACGGAAUAGCCUCGGGAAACUGAGCGUAAUACCGUAUACGCCCUUUGGGGGAAAGAUUUAUCGGAGAAGGAUCGGCCCGCGUUGGAUUAGGUAGUUGGUGGGGUAAUGGCCUACCAAGCCUACGAUCCAUAGCUGGUUUGAGAGGAUGAUCAGCCACACUGGGACUGAGACACGGCCCAGACUCCGACGGGAGGCAGCAGUGGGGAAUCUUAGACAAGGGGGGCAACCCUGAUCUAGCCAUGCCGCGUGAGUGAUGAAGGCCUUAGGGUUGUAAAGCUCUUUCAGCUGGGAAGAUAAUGACGGUACCAGCAGAAGAAGCCCCGGCUAACUCCGUG